GCGUCGGUAAGGUGAUAUGAACCGUUAUAACCGGCGAUUUCCGAAUGGGGAAACCCAGUGUGAUUCGUCACACUAUCAUUAACUGAAUCCAUAGGUUAAUGAGGCGAACCGGGGGAACUGAAACAUCUAAGUACCCCGAGGAAAAGAAAUCAACCGAGAUUCCCCCAGUAGCGGCGAGCGAACGGGGAGCAGCCCAGAGCCUGAAUCAGUGUGUGUGUUAGUGGAAGCGUCUGGAAAGGCGUGCGAUACAGGGUGACAGCCCCGUACACAAAAAUGCACAUACUGUGAGCUCGAUGAGUAGGGCGGGACACGUGGUAUCCUGUCUGAAUAUGGGGGGACCAUCCUCCAAGGCUAAAUACUCCUGACUGACCGAUAGUGAACCAGUACCGUGAGGGAAAGGCGAAAAGAACCCCGGCGAGGGGAGUGAAAAAGAACCUGAAACCGUGUACGUACAAGCAGUGGGAGCACGCUUAGGCGUGUGACUGCGUACCUUUUGUAUAAUGGGUCAGCGACUUAUAUUCUGUAGCAAGGUUAACCGAAUAGGGGAGCCGAAGGGAAACCGAGUCUUAACUGGGCGUUAAGUUGCAGGGUAUAGACCCGAAACCCGGUGAUCUAGCCAUGGGCAGGUUGAAGGUUGGGUAACACUAACUGGAGGACCGAACCGACUAAUGUUGAAAAAUUAGCGGAUGACUUGUGGCUGGGGGUGAAAGGCCAAUCAAACCGGGAGAUAGCUGGUUCUCCCCGAAAGCUAUUUAGGUAGCGCCUCGUGAAUUCAUCUCCGGGGGUAGAGCACUGUUUCGGCAAGGGGGUCAUCCCGACUUACCAACCCGAUGCAAACUGCGAAUACCGGAGAAUGUUAUCACGGGAGACACACGGCGGGUGCUAACGUCCGUCGUGAAGAGGGAAACAACCCAGACCGCCAGCUAAGGUCCCAAAGUCAUGGUUAAGUGGGAAACGAUGUGGGAAGGCCCAGACAGCCAGGAUGUUGGCUUAGAAGCAGCCAUCAUUUAAAGAAAGCGUAAUAGCUCACUGGUCGAGUCGGCCUGCGCGGAAGAUGUAACGGGGCUAAACCAUGCACCGAAGCUGCGGCAGCGACGCUUAUGCGUUGUUGGGUAGGGGAGCGUUCUGUAAGCCUGUGAAGGUGUGCUGUGAGGUAUGCUGGAGGUAUCAGAAGUGCGAAUGCUGACAUAAGUAACGAUAAAGCGGGUGAAAAGCCCGCUCGCCGGAAGACCAAGGGUUCCUGUCCAACGUUAAUCGGGGCAGGGUGAGUCGACCCCUAAGGCGAGGCCGAAAGGCGUAGUCGAUGGGAAACAGGUUAAUAUUCCUGUACUUGGUGUUACUGCGAAGGGGGGACGGAGAAGGCUAUGUUGGCCGGGCGACGGUUGUCCCGGUUUAAGCGUGUAGGCUGGUUUUCCAGGCAAAUCCGGAAAAUCAAGGCCGAGGCGUGAUGACGAGGCACUACGGUGCUGAAGCAACAAAUGCCCUGCUUCCAGGAAAAGCCUCUAAGCAUCAGGUAACAUCAAAUCGUACCCCAAACCGACACAGGUGGUCAGGUAGAGAAUACCAAGGCGCUUGAGAGAACUCGGGUGAAGGAACUAGGCAAAAUGGUGCCGUAACUUCGGGAGAAGGCACGCUGAUACGUAGGUGAAGCGACUUGCUCGUGGAGCUGAAAUCAGUCGAAGAUACCAGCUGGCUGCAACUGUUUAUUAAAAACACAGCACUGUGCAAACACGAAAGUGGACGUAUACGGUGUGACGCCUGCCCGGUGCCGGAAGGUUAAUUGAUGGGGUUAGCGCAAGCGAAGCUCUUGAUCGAAGCCCCGGUAAACGGCGGCCGUAACUAUAACGGUCCUAAGGUAGCGAAAUUCCUUGUCGGGUAAGUUCCGACCUGCACGAAUGGCGUAAUGAUGGCCAGGCUGUCUCCACCCGAGACUCAGUGAAAUUGAACUCGCUGUGAAGAUGCAGUGUACCCGCGGCAAGACGGAAAGACCCCGUGAACCUUUACUAUAGCUUGACACUGAACAUUGAGCCUUGAUGUGUAGGAUAGGUGGGAGGCUUUGAAGUGUGGACGCCAGUCUGCAUGGAGCCGACCUUGAAAUACCACCCUUUAAUGUUUGAUGUUCUAACGUGGACCCGUGAUCCGGGUUGCGGACAGUGUCUGGUGGGUAGUUUGACUGGGGCGGUCUCCUCCUAAAGAGUAACGGAGGAGCACGAAGGUUGGCUAAUCCUGGUCGGACAUCAGGAGGUUAGUGCAAUGGCAUAAGCCAGCUUGACUGCGAGCGUGACGGCGCGAGCAGGUGCGAAAGCAGGUCAUAGUGAUCCGGUGGUUCUGAAUGGAAGGGCCAUCGCUCAACGGAUAAAAGGUACUCCGGGGAUAACAGGCUGAUACCGCCCAAGAGUUCAUAUCGACGGCGGUGUUUGGCACCUCGAUGUCGGCUCAUCACAUCCUGGGGCUGAAGUAGGUCCCAAGGGUAUGGCUGUUCGCCAUUUAAAGUGGUACGCGAGCUGGGUUUAGAACGUCGUGAGACAGUUCGGUCCCUAUCUGCCGUGGGCGCUGGAGAACUGAGGGGGGCUGCUCCUAGUACGAGAGGACCGGAGUGGACGCAUCACUGGUGUUCGGGUUGUCAUGCCAAUGGCACUGCCCGGUAGCUAAAUGCGGAAGAGAUAAGUGCUGAAAGCAUCUAAGCACGAAACUUGCCCCGAGAUGAGUUCUCCCUGACCCUUUAAGGGUCCUGAAGGAACGUUGAAGACGACGACGUUGAUAGGCCGGGUGUGUAAGCGCAGCGAUGCGUUGAGCUAACCGGUACUAAUGAACCGUGAGGCUUAACCUU
rnacentral:rRNA from 1 species